GGGCGGUGGGGUAGCCUAUCAUUAGCUUGAACUAUUUGUAACAGUGUUAGUAGCUACAACGAAACGUCACUCAUAUUAUAUGAAAGAAGUUGUAUAUCCGUAGAACUC